rnacentral:rRNA from 1 species
GUCCUACGGGACGCAGCAGUAGGGAAUCUUCCACAAUGGGCGAAAGCCUGAUGGAGCAACGCCGCGUGGGUGAAGAAGGUCUUCGGAUCGUAAAACCCUGUUGUUAGAGAAGAAAGUGCGUGAGAGUAACUGUUCACGUUUCGACGGUAUCUAACCAGAAAGCCACGGCUAACUACGUGCCAGCAGCCGCGGUAAUACGUAGGUGGCAAGCGUUAUCCGGAUGUAUUGGGCGUAAAGGGAACGCAGGCGGCCGUUUAAUGCUGAUGUGAAAGCCUUCGGCUUAACCGGAGUGGUGC